rnacentral:rRNA from 1 species
AAUGAACGUUGGCGGCGUGGAUUAGGCAUGCAAGUCGAGCGAGAAGACUUAAAAGAUACUUCGGUUGAUUUUAAGUUGGACAGCGGCGAAAGGGAGAGUAACGAGUAGAUUACGUACCCGAGGGUCCGGGAUAGCUGCGGGAAACUGCAGGUAAUACCGGAUAAUGUUUCCGAACCAAAGAUUUAUUGCCCUCGGAUCGGUCUGCUUACUAUUAGCUUGUUGGUGGGGUAAUGGCCUACCAAGGCGAAGAUGGUUAGCGGGUGUGAGAGCAUGGCCCGUCUCACUGGGACUGAGACACUGCCCAGACACCUACGGGUGGCUGCAGUCGAGAAUCUUCCGCAAUGGACGAAAGUCUGACGGAGCGACGCCGCGUGAUGGAUGAAGGCCCUCGGGUUGUAAACAUCUGUCGUAGGGGAGGAAUUUUGACCGAUCCUAGGAGGAAGCGCAGGCUAAGUUCGUGCCAGCCGCCGCGGUAAU